GGGAGAAUAUUCCGUAUUUUCCAAUAAGAAAAUUAAAUAUUUCACGAAAUUGAUUGAUAUGGUUUGGGGAAUCCAAUUUUCAACCCGAAAUUCCUCACCAAAAGGAAACCGAUGACAUAGUUUUCUCGAUUCCACUUCCCCAUGGCGAUGUCGUCGUUGAAUCAUCGAUUCCUUCUGAAUAUUGAUGUGGACCAUUUUCUGAAGAUGACAAUCGACUUCGCUAACGAGCGUUGAUUUGGGGCACCUUUUCCAUCGGGGAAAACUCGUUUCAGUGACCGGCACACGAAAUUUUCAAAUGCAGUGUGAAUGGAGAGAAGCUUGCAUUAGAAAUCCUACAAAAGAGAAAAAAAAUUCUGCCAGAAGGUGACUCUUCAAGACCAAUCAUGAACUUCUGUUGUACCAUUCACGUAAUUACUGCAACCAGAAUUCGACCACUCUAGAUGAAAGACUACUGGCAAUCAGAAGAUGGUUUUCCAACCCUUGUUCGCAUUCGCUCAAGUAUUUGUGCAGAGCAACUCAAUUAUAGACUGCAAGGGCUCGGAGUAGCAGUAAAAAAUUCAGAGACAUAUUAAAUCAUUCAGCUCUCAACGUCACCAAAGUGAGUUUGUACGAAUUACAUAUGAGAAAACUUGAGUUCGUGUGACAGUGAAACGUUUCAAUCUCAAGUUGAUCAUACAUUGAAUCGGGAACAUAAUGAAGGGAGCCUAUUCACCAUCCGGUGAAAAAGUAAUUUCGAUCCGUUUCCACCAGGUUGAUUGAGUUUGAAACAGGAUAAUUGUACCAAAUGGUAGCAAUUUUAAGGAAUAGCUAUAUCAAUAGUUACAGCAAUUAUGGCUACCAGUGACCGGAGCAUAGCAGUACGUUUUGGAUAUGGAUAAAUUCAGCAAAGUUCGUUGGUCCGCCAAGCACUGGACGAACCGAUUCGCAAAAGCCUGGGAAUGACCAAUUCGGUUGUUCAGGAGAUUCUACUAAAGAGAACCAUCACAUUGCUCCCGGCUACAUCCGGUCGUUGUCGAUAGAAUCGCUCCGACAUCGUAUCACGCUGAAAGCGCUCAAAUUAGUUCAAUAAUUGUCAUUAACGGGUAGAGAAAUGGCAUCGCUUCUCCGCCAGUUAUAGGAUAUGACGGAUGCAUUAUAUACAUUGCUCUUCGUGGCCGAAUGUCACGUUCCUGCACUUAUUCGUAACGUGUACCGAAGCCAUCUUUUGUUCGAUUGUUCGUCUCAACCACUGAAUCACGACGAUACCCUCAACCGGAGAACCCUCGUUUACAACCAAUUCACAGUAAUUAAUAGUUUGAAUUGUCUAAUUAUCCAACUCGCACCAGUGAGCUUUGCUCGUCUCGUAUCUCAAUAACUAUCAGAGAAAUUUUGCGUAACGUCCUCGUUACUCAAAGUGAUCUCACUUCAUGAACGUAUUCAAUAGAUUCUAUAAAUUGUUAUCGUUUCUGCAAUAGAAUUUCGUACGAAGUGAAUUCAAAUUUUUUCUUCUUAGGGGAAAGAAAAUGUUACUGGGAUUGUAAUGUAAAAUAAAAUAAACGAAA